rnacentral:rRNA from 1 species
AUGCGGAUGCAUGGUCGCAUAGCAGUAUGUGGGAUGGUCUCCCAGCACGGCAUGACUGAUCCUUCAGGGAUCCACAACCUCUUCUGUCUGGUGCCGAAACGGAUCAGUAUGAAGGGCUUCAUCCAGAGUGAUUACAUCAAGUUAUUCCCACAGUUCGUCGAUUACAUGACCAAGCAUUACAAGGAUGGCAAGAUUGAAUAUGUAGAAGACAUGAGCAUCAGGCUAGAGAAUGCGCCAGCUGCCUUUGUUGGUCUAUUCAGUGGUAAAAAUGUUGGCAAACAAGUCGUGUGCGUGUCACAAGAGUGA